CUCUUAUUCGCUGAUGGUACUGCGAGUUCGCGGGAGAGUAGGUUAUUGCCAGGGUUUUUUAUUUUAUACUUCAAAUCUUGAAUUUAUUUUUUAUGUUUUUUAAAUGUUCAUUUUUUUGAAUGUUUGAUUUAAAAAAAUAUAAAAAAUAAAAUAGAUAUUGACAUGGAUUAAACAAAGAUAUAUAUUAUUCUAUGUUGCAUAAACAAAUUGGCAAAGUAGAGAUGGAAGAUAAAAAUAUGGUCAAAGUAAUAAGAGUCUAUGGUGAAUGCCUAGGAGCUUUAAGGCGAAGAAGGUCG
rnacentral:misc_RNA from 1 species